rnacentral:tRNA from 1 species
GUUUUAGUAGUUGAAUACAACGGCGGUUUUUCGAAUCGCAGGUUUUGGUGUGAGGCCAGAUUAAAAUA